rnacentral:rRNA from 1 species
CCCUUAGAUGUUCUGGGCCGCACGCGCGCUACACUGAUGCAUUCAACGAGUCCAACCUUGAUCGAGAGGUCCGGGUAAUCUUUGAAACUGCAUCGUGAUGGGGCUAGAUUAUUGCAAUUAUUAAUCUUCAACGAGGAAUGCCUAGUAAGCGUGAUUCAUCAAAUCGCGUUGAUUACGUCCCUGCCCUUUGUACACACCGCCCGUCGCUCCUACCGAUUGAGUGUGUUGGUGAGGAGUUUGGAUUGGCCUCGGAAGGUGGUUCGCCACCGUCCGUAGCUGAGAAGUUCUCCAAACCGCCCCACUUAGAGGAAGGAGAAGUCGUAACA